rnacentral:rRNA from 1 species
GACGAACGCUGGCGGCGUGCUUAACACAUGCAAGUCGUACGGUAAGGCCCUUUCGGGGGUACACGAGUGGCGAACGGGUGAGUAACACGCGAGUAACCUGCCCACAACUUUGGGAUAACGCUAGGAAACUGGUGCUAAUACUGGAUAUGUGCUCCUGCUGCAUGGUGGGGGUUGGAAAGCUCCGGCGGUUGUGGAUGGACUCGCGGCCUAUCAGCUUGUUGGUGGGGUAGUGGCCUACCAAGGCGGCGACGGGUAGCCGGCCUGAGAGGGUGACCGGCCACAUUGGGACUGAGAUACGGCCCAGACUCCUACGGGAGGCAGCAGGGGGGAAUAUUGCACAAUGGGCGCAAGCCUGAUGCAGCAACGCCGCGUGCGGGAUGACGGCCUUCGGGUUGGAAACCGCUUUCAGCAGGGACGAAGCUUUUUGUGACGGUACCUGCAGAAGAAGCACCGGCUAACUACGUG